rnacentral:lncRNA from 1 species
ACCAACACCAAAUUACAGACCUCGGAUACAUAAUACACACACUAACAAGCAAAGACAGACCCAACACACAACCAAAAGAAUCCCUAAAAAAAUUUCCUUCCUCUUCAUGUCCCUGAUCCUGCUUUGCAAAUCUUUUUCCCUCAACUCCAAUUCAUCAACUUUCUUCAUCAAUGCUACCAUGAUUUUCUUCUGACGACUGUUGGCAACUGGAUCGUGCCCCUCAAAGUAAUUACACCAUUUCCU